rnacentral:rRNA from 1 species
AUUGAACGCUGGCGGCAGGCUUAACACAUGCAAGUCGAGCGGAGUGAUGGUGCUUGCACUAUCACUUAGCGGCGGACGGGUGAGUAAUGCUUAGGAAUCUGCCUAUUAGUGGGGGACAACAUCUCGAAAGGGAUGCUAAUACCGCGUACGUCCUACGGGAGAAAGCAGGGGAUCACUUGUGACCUUGCGCUAAUAGAUGAGCCUAAGUCGGAUUAGCUAGUUGGUGGGGUAAAGGCCUACCAAGGCGACGAUCUGUAGCGGGUCUGAGAGGAUGAUCCGCCACACUGGGACUGAGACACGGCCCAGACUCCAACGGGAGGCAGCAGUGGGGAAUAUUGGACAAUGGGGGGAACCCUGAUCCAGCCAUGCCGCGUGUGUGAAGAAGGCCUUAUGGUUGUAAAGCACUUUAAGCGAGGAGGAGGCUCUUUUGGUUAAUACCCAGAAUGAGUGGACGUUACUCGCAGAAUAAGCACCGGCUAACUCUGUGCCAGCAGCCGCCGUAAUAC